rnacentral:pre_miRNA from 1 species
CCCACACUCAUGUGUGUAAGACCCCAAAGGAUCACCAUUAAAUUUGGCACAGAUCUCUAGAAAAGUUAUCACAUGGUUGUAGGACUUAACUUUUCUAGAGAUCUGUGUCAAAUUUAACGGUGAUCCUUAAAGGUCCUAUACACAUGGAUGUGGG